CUUUAAUUGUUGUAAGAUUUGCCUUUUGUUGCACUUGCCUCACAUCCAAACAAUUGUUAAAAAAAUUCGUUUUUACGGUUUUUACACAUUAUAGACGCGUACAAUAGUUUAAAUUUACAAAUCUACAGGAAAAAACGAAUCAAGAUUGAUAUAAAAAUAUAUCGGAACAAAAUAUUUGCGGUCCUUAUCUUCAAAACAAAAAUCGAACACCAUCUAACCUAACUUUUCUCUUCAACAAUAUUUAUUUAUUUUCUCAUCCGUUGAAAUAACGCAGUAUCAAUAGUGGUCAUGGAUAUUCUGAAAAAUUGUACCAUUUAUCAAAAAUCGAAAAUUAUGAUAAGAAUAAAUCGAAAAUGCAGAUGUUAUUGGAAAAUGAAAGAAAUUAAGUGAACACUUUCAUUUCUUCGCGUAUAGAGGAGAGAAAAAAAAAUGAAUUUUCCCUGGAACUCUGUGGAGAUUUUUAAAAAAAUUUCAAUAUCAGGGGAAAAAAGAGGUCAGGAUUUAUAAAUCAUUAAAGGAAUUUAAUUAAACGAGAAUAUAAUAAUAAUAAUAAUAAUUAGAUGAUGCUGAUUUUGAUCUCGGGCCGACGAAUACUGAGAAAGGGAAUUGGAGAAAGGAAACGGAAGAAACGAUGGCGUGACGAUGUCGCGACGUCAAAGGUUCUUCCCAAUCUUUCUCACCCUUUUUCACAUGCAAGCAGGAGAGUAUUCAAACUGACAGCUACUCUCAUGACAGCUAGUCUACUUUGUAGUUCAAGCCACCAUAGUGACAGAUUUCAUUUUCAGGCGAACAGAUUGACAAGAAAGUAGGGCAAUUGAGAAAUUUCUUCUUCUAUAAAUGUAGUAGAGUUAUUCGAUCGCAAAAAAAGAGGACCUGGGGGAGGAGCAAACUUAAAAAAAAGGAAUCAUGUGAACCGGAUUUUUAGCAGACAGCAGCUGUCAUCAAUCCUUUUCGAAUAAAAUGUUGUCUAAUUCGAUCAACAAUCAUAAAAAAAUCUGACCCCAUCGUCUCUAUGCACAUAAUCGAGGAGACAUCUCCUCCCACUUGUAUGUGACCUUUCGAACUCUCGAAGAAAAUGGACGAAGUGUAGAGAAUUUUAGAAAAAUGCCGCCGACGCCACCGCGACUACAGCUUUGUCAUCAAUCAUUGCUCGUCCAGCUGUAAUAUAAAUGUAUCAUUAGGAAACGGAAAAAAAAAUGAAGGAAGCUGAACUUUGAAAAUAGGCGUGGAAAUCAUUAAUAAAAUGCAAAAGGCGAGACGCCGAUUUUCCGUCAGUCAACCAUUAAUCUCCACCAACUCUUGACAGACGUGGUUUCAAUUUUCCUGAAAUUUAUUCUUAUGCGCUGGGAAAAUUAAUCUUACUCGUUAAUUAAAGUCCAUUACAUUACAAUUUUUACUAUUUUUACACUUCUUACAUUGAUAGUCAACAAUAUUUGAAACA